GACGAACGCUGGCGGCGUGCCUAAUACAUGCAAGUUGAGCGCUGAAGGUUGGUACUUGUACCAACUGGAUGAGCAGCGGACGGGUGAGUAACGCGUGGGGAAUCUGCCUUUGAGCGGGGGACAACAUUUGGAAACGAAUGCUAAUACCGCAUAAAAACUUUAAACACAAGUUUUAAGUUUGAAAGAUGCAAUUGCAUCACUCAAAGAUGAUCCCGCGUUGUAUUAGCUAGUUGGUGAGGUAAAGGCUCACCAAGGCGAUGAUACAUAGCCGACCUGAGAGGGUGAUCGGCCACAUUGGGACUGAGACACGGCCCAAACUCCUACGGGAGGCAGCAGUAGGGAAUCUUCGGCAAUAGACGAAAGUCUGACCGAGCAACGCCGCGUGAGUGAAGAAGGUUUUCGGGUCGUAAAACUCUGUUGGUAGAGAAGAACGUUGGUGAGAGUGGAAAGCUCAUCAAGUGACGGUAACUACCCAGAAAGGGACGGCUAACUACGUG
rnacentral:rRNA from 1 species